UCGCUCUCCUUCACAGAAAACUCAAAACAAAUAUACAGCUUUGGGAUUUUCACCAGCAACAACCCAGACUCACUAUAAGAAUGAGAUAGUUCCUGGGGCCCCAGAGAAAUAAAAAACUUUGAGCAAACAAUAGGAUAAUUGGACUUCCACAACUUCAACAUUCCUCCCCAACAUUCUACUCAGCACCAAGCAUGUGGAAAAUCUCCCCCCAACUCCUGGUUUCUACACCGGAAAAAGUGGGAUUGAGGUGGUCAACCAGCUUCUUCACCAUCUUGGGUGUACUUGCAGGAGCUUCCCAGAAGCUACAUCCUCCAAGUGCCCAAGAUUCCUCCAGUAGCCUUUAACUCUGAGGGGGAAAGAUCAUGGCAGUUGGCUUCAGCACCUUUGUGAGUUUUCAUCAGCACAUUUCAUUCUUUACGGAACAAUGAAAAUAUAAGAG